rnacentral:tRNA from 11 species
GCGGACGUGGCGAAAUUGGUAGACGCACCAGAUUUAGGUUCUGGCGCCGCAAGGUGUGAGAGUUCGAGUCUCUCCGUCCGCACCA